rnacentral:tRNA from 1 species
GCGCCUGUAGCUUAGUUGGUAAAGCGUUCGUCUUAUACACGAAUGAGCGGGGGUUCGAGUCCCUCCAGGCGCA